ACAGUGGACGCGAGCAUCUGUGGCCAAGUUUUUAAGGGCGCACGGUGGAUGCCUUGGCACCAGGAACCGAUGAAGGACGUGGGAGGCCACGAUAGUCCCCGGGGAGUCGUCAACCAGGCUUUGAUCCGGGGGUUUCCGAAUGGGGAAACCCGGCAGUCGUCAUGGGCUGUCACCCAUACCUGAACACAUAGGGUAUGUGGAGGGAACGCGGGGAAGUGAAACAUCUCAGUACCCGCAGGAAGAGAAAACAACCGUGAUUCCGGGAGUAGUGGCGAGCGAAACCGGAUGAGGCCAAACCGUAUGCGUGUGAGACCCGGCAGGGGUUGCGUAUACGGGGUUGUGGGAUCUCUCUUCCACGGUCUGCCGGCCGUGGGACGAGUCAGAAACCGUUGAUGUAGGCGAAGGACAUGCGAAAGGUCCGGCGUAGAGGGUAAGACCCCCGUAGUCGAAACAUCAGCGGCUCGUUUGAGAGACACCCAAGUAGCACGGGGCCCGAGAAAUCCCGUGUGAAUCUGGCGGGACCACCCGCUAAGCCUAAAUAUUCCCUGGUGACCGAUAGCGGAUAGUACCGUGAGGGAAUGGUGAAAAGUACCGCGGGAGCGGAGUGAAAUAGUACCUGAAACCGUGUGCCUACAAGCCGUGGGAGCGUCG
rnacentral:rRNA from 2 species